CAAUAGCGUAUAUUAAAGUUGUUGCGGUAAAAAGCUCGUAGUUGGAUUUCUGUCAAGGGGGGAUCGGUCCGCACCAUGUGCGCGUAUCUGGUUCGACCUCGGCAUCCUCUCGGAAACGUUUCUGCGCUUGAUUGCGUGGAGCGGGGUUCGGGACUUUUACUUUGAGGAAAUUAGAGUGUUCACGGCAGGCUAACGCCAGAAUACAUUAGCAUGGAAUAAUACUAUAGGAUCUUGAUUCUAUUUUGUUGGUUUCUAGGAUUGAGAUAAUGAUUAAUAGGGACAAUUGGGGCGAUUCGUAUCAACACGUCAGAGGUGGAAUUCUUGGAUUGUGUUGCGACGAACUACUGCGAAAGCAUUUGCCAAGGAUGUUUUCAUUGAUCAAGAACGAAAGUAAGGGGAUCGAAGAUGAUUAGAU
rnacentral:rRNA from 1 species